rnacentral:rRNA from 1 species
AUUGAACGCUGGCGGUAGGCCUAACACAUGCAAGUCGAACGAGUGGCGGACGGGUGAGGAAUACAUCGGAAUCUACUCUGUCGGGGGGGAUCACGUAGGGAAACUUAAGCUAAUACCGCAUACGAUUGAAUGAGCCGAUGUCGGAUUAGCUAGUUGGCGGUGUAAAGGCCCAACAAGGCGACGAUCCGUAGCUGGUCUGAGAGGAGUAUCAGCCACACUGGAACUGAGACACGGUCCAGACUCCUACGGUAGGGAGCAGUGGGGAAUAUUGGACAAGGGGCGCAAGCCUGAUCCAGCCAUACCGCGUGGGUGAAGAAGGCCUUCGGGUUGUAAAGCCCUUUUGUUGGGAAAGCGGUACCCAAAGAAUAAGCACCGGCUAACUCCGUGCCAGCAGCCGCGGUAAUUC